AGCAGCCGCGGUAAUUCCAGCUCCAAUAGCGUAUAUUAAAGUUGUUGCAGUUAAAAAAGCUCGUAGUUGAAUUUCGGGAUCAAUAUAUCGGUCGUGCCUUGGUACGUACUGGUAUCAUUGGUUUCUCCUUUCUGACGAACCAUGAUGUCAUUAAUUUGGUGUUAUGGGAAGUUAGGACUGUUACUUUGAAAAAAAUUAGAGUGUUUAAAGCAGGCUUUAGCUUGAAUACAUUAGCAUGGAAUAAUGAAAUAGGACGUUCGAACCUAUUUUGUUGGUUUCUAGGAUCAACGUAAUGAUUAAUAGGGAUAGUUGGGGGCAUUAGUAUUCAAUUGUCAGAGGUGAAAUUCUUGGAUUUAUUGAAGACUAACUACUGCGAAAGCAUUUGCCAAGGAUGUUUUCAUUAAUCAAGAACGAAAGUUAGGGGAUCGAAGACGAUCAGAUACCGUCGUAGUCUUAACCAUAAACUAUGCCGACUAGGGAUCGGAUGAUGUUAAUUUUUUUCAACGACUCAUUCGGCGCC
rnacentral:misc_RNA from 1 species